AGCCACCUACUACUAUUUCCUUCUGGUUCUAACGCAUGGCAACAAAGGAAAAUAAAAUAAAUAAAUAAAAAGGUGGCCUCACCCACUCAUACUCAACACUAUUUUCCUCACUGACAAAAAUCUCUCAUUCACCUCUCAUCUUCACCAUAAAAUCCACAAAAACUCCACCAACAACCCUCACCGUCAUCUUCCUCAUCAAUAAACCCUUCAUCUUCCGUCCGCCGCCAUCCAUUCCGUUAACCGCUUCCACGCCUUCGAUCAUCUUUCACCGGCGAUUCAACCUUCCGCUUCACCUCCAUCAAAACUCCGUUCACCACCUCAAUACAAUCUCAGAUCCAAAAACCAUCCACACGCUGACGAAACCCCAAACACCGCCGUUUCUUUUCCACUCCUUUCACAACCGUCGUCCUCUUUCAAACCACACACGACUUCUGUGACGUCGCCGCUCAACCGACCACCACCCUUUCAACCACAAAACCUUCGCCAAACUUCUCAACUCUCCUUCUUCUCCGAUCUAUUUCCACUUAUUCCUCCGUCCAAACACCAACUCCGUGAAACCCUUUUUCGCCUUCAACCGCGCAUCCUCCGCGCCUCUUAUUCCAACUCUGUUUCGGAUGGCUGCGAGUUGGCAAGGCGUUUUAGAUUGGACGGCUGUUUGGUUUUAAUUCUUUUGUUUAUGCAGGUAAUGGUUUGGAACGAAAGGCUAAAAAGCACCGGAUUCACUUCACCAACUAUGGAGUUUCAAGUUCAACAAGCACUUCGAGACAUUGACACCCUAUUUCCACCGCCUGCGAAAACAACACGCCAAAUCGCGUUUACAUUUCUGCAUUCGGUAAUCUUUUAAACUGAAAACAUUGAUUACAAUUGGUCCAUAUUCUAAUGCUGUUUUGGUUAUCGAAUCAUGUGUACAACUAAAUUUUUCUUUGGUAUAUGAUUGCAUUAUGCAUUGGAUUUCCUGCAUAAAUUGGUUCUGAUUCCAUAUGUUUCAUGACAGAGUGUAUGGAUAAGUAAUUGAUGUCGACACUGCGGUGAUUUUGUAAAUAAUUUCAAGCGGUCCUUGUUUCGACAUAUUAUUAUGUAACAUGCUUGCUGCCAAAUUUGAUAUAAGGCUUUGGUUACAUUAUGGUUAUACUAUGUAACGUUUUGGCAUGGCUGCUGUUAUAGUCCCUUAUCUUUCUCCCUAAAUAUCCAUAAGUCAUUUGUUUCAUAGAGAAGUGGUAGACUUCAAAAAGGCAGAAAAUAUUUGUUUACUGUUCUAUGCUUAGAAUGAUAGUGCAUCGUUUUUGGUUUUGAUAUUUGGUUGAGGAAAGAUUAAUAUAAAAGGUACACCUCAGUGAUUAUUCAUGUGUUUGUAUCACAUUUGUAAAUAAUCUUAAUUCAAUUCUUUUGCUGAUUUUAUUAUUAUUAUUAGGAAUAAUGUAUAAAGGAUCAUAGGUCGUUUCGUUGAUAUAAUAAAAAUGUCAUUUAUUUUUUAAUCGGAUUUUUUUAUCCAUGGAUCCGACAAUUUCAUGUCGUCAUGCCGCCCAAAGUCGCAAUAAAUUAACUGUACGAUUUCACCGCAUUUAGAUCUCACAUACGGCAUUCUAAUUUCAUGGUCGCUAUGUACAAACCGGUUUGAGCAUAAAUAUUCAAUUAAAUAAAUCAACAUUGCCACUUAUUUUCAUUUGUUUUCUUAAAAAAUUAAUUAAUUGGACUUUUGUUUGAUUAAUUCAUUUCAAUUAAUUAAUCUUAAUUAACUUAAUUAUUUGAGAUAAUUAAAUAAUUUUGAUAAUUAAUCUUAAUUAAUUCAAUUAAUCAACUCAACUAAAUUCUGAUGAGUUAAUAAUUAAAGGAUUUUCUUUUCCACCGUGUUUCCAUAAUAAAAUUCAAUUCACUUCAAAAUCAUUCAAACCAAUUUCAAAAACACAUCACACAAUUCUCGAUUUAACAUCGAGCCCAUUUUAAAACACCCUUGUAAGUUGAUCGCUCUUCGCAUCGCCAUCAACCUCACAUAGCUUACUCUUGGGCUUUCUUACAAUGAGACCUAUUUGAUUAUUGAUUAAUCGAGUAGAUGAUCGAUUCACCAUAAUUUAUUCAAUAANNNNNNNNNNNNNNNNNNNNNNNNNNNNNNNNNNNNNNNNNNNNNNNNNNNNNNNNNNNNNNNNNNNNNNNNNNNNNNNNNNNNNNNNNNNNNNNNNNNNNNNNNNNNNNNNNNNNNNNNNNNNNNNNNNNNNNNNNNNNNNNNNNNNNNNNNNNNNNNNNNNNNNNNNNNNNNNNNNNNNNNNNNNNNNNAACCGGGGUAGAAAUCGCGAUUAAAAAAUGCAAUAACAACAUUUUAUUCACACACGAAACGACCACACUUUACACACAAUUCACAAAAAUAAUAAAAUCAGCAGAAAGAAUCGAAUUAAGAUAUUACAAAUGUGAUACACCAUGAAUACUCACACUGAGGUUACCUUUUAUAUUAAUCUUUACACCAACCAACAUACACACAAAACGAACAAACACAUACUCACAGCAUAGAACAGUAAAAAAUUUGUCUGCCUUUUGAGUCUAUCACUUCCUAGAGCAACAACAUGACUUAUGGAUAAUUAGGGAGAAAGAUCACAGAUAUCACACAACACCAUACCAACACACGUACAUAGUAAAACCUACACAAUGUACCGAAGCCUUAUCAUCAAAGUUUGGCACCACGCAAGCAUUACAUAAUAAUAUGUCGAAACAAGACCGCUUGAAAUUAGUUACACAAUCACGCGCAGUGUCGACAUCAAUACUUAUGCCUCCGCCGAGAGUAGACAAGCCAGCGUUUAGCCUUUAGAACGCCGACCUACACAGUCGUUCAUCAAAACAAAACACACCAAAUAUCCGUAGUUGCCCGAACUACGAAUGCUCUGAUUUCCUUAUUUCACCAUAAGGAUACGUAGGCAGGAGAUUGCUGUAUCUUCGCGAGCACACUAAUAAAAAACCUCCCAUUUCCCCCUCUUGAGGUCUUCAUCCAUCUCUAUUAUCAAUUCCAAUCACUCAAAGCAAGCAAACAACAGUCAAUUAACAGUAAAAUCGCAAAAUCAGACUAAAAGGUUCCCAUUGAGUACAACGGACGUGAGGGGUGCUAAUACCUUCCUCUCGCGUAUUCGACUCCCGAACCCGAAUAUGGUUUCGACGACCAUUAUUCUAUUUUCUAAAAGGUUUUAUAGAUAUUUUCCUAUUCCUUCAUUGGGGUAAAUAAAGUUCGGUGGCGACUCUGUUCGAACCUAAUCUUUUCCGUGACCAUCGCGAGGGAUCGUAUUUUUCGAGAUGCGACAGAUGGCGACUCUGCUGGGGAUCCUGCUCCAAGCAAGAGAGAGUCAAGCCUAACUUAGUCAUUUUUCUAUGAAUGUUAGAAUACUGCCUUUUAUUUGCUUCUGUAUAUCUUGAUGUAUUAUUUAUGCUAUGUAAUUUAUUCUGCUAUUAUGUUGGGUGAUCUAUGGUGUUUGACACAUGUUGUGAGAUGAGCUCCGUACCCGAGCUUUGAGAAGAACUUAGAACCCGAAGUUGUGUAGUAUUGAACCGAGGGGUGUACACCUCAUUGGGACAAUACGAGAACUCCACCUAGAGUAGAUCUGUUCAGAAUUUCCAUCAUAAUAUGGCUAGCCCAUUAUUGCGAGGAAACGUUGAACAUGGUCAAUGAGUUUGGGAACCUCAACUUAAACUGAAGUCUGUCUUCAUGAUUGGCGAUAGUGUAGUAUUGAACCGAAGGGUCUACACCCUGUUCGAAUAAUACGAGGAUCCCACUUAGAGUAGACUGAUUCAGAAUUUCCAUUUCGAUAUGGCUAGCCCAUUAUUGCGAUGGAAGACUGAACUUGGUCCAUGACUCUAAGUUCUUAUCCUGAAAACGAACAACCUUAGGAGCCAUCCUUUGUGUGUGGGGUAGAGAACAUAGAACCUCCGUAUAGGGUGUACCAUAUGAUACUCGUGAUAUCCUGGAUCCUAAUUAUACCCGCAUUACAUUUUCUUUGCAUACAAAUAUAAAAUUGCAUGCAUUCGAAUUUCAUCGGCAUAGAUUGCAUAUCAUUUUCCAAUACAAAAAAACUCAUCCCGUCCUUUUGGCAAUUACCAGCAGGUUGAUGUCCUGACACUCGUACUGAACCUUUGAGAGCUACUAAAAGACAAGGGAGCACUGAGAACAUAAUCAAAUUGAGUUGAAAAUGGAUAUGAACAACAUGGAAGGAAAGGUAGACCAGAUGUUGGAAGCUAGGCUAGCCCAAUCGAAGAACAAUUUUCAACAUGGUGUCACAAAGGAUGUUGGUUCCUCAGCAGGAUUUACUGUAAUCACCAACCCAAUGUAUGACCCUCUGUCUGACUAUAAUCCUCCACAAGUGAAUAUUCCUACUCAAUCCCAGUUGAUGCCAUUGACCAACCCUGAUGUUGAAAGGCUUCACGCCCUUGAGGAGAGAGUCAGAAUAAUGGAUGUGAAUGACAAUCUUAGGCUUGAUAUGUGCUUAGUACCAGGCCUAAUAAUCCCCCCGAAAUUCAAAUUACCCAACUUCGAGAAGUACAAAGGGGAUAGUUGUCCAAGGCACCAUUUGGUGAUGUUCUUCCGAAAAAUGGCAUCACAUACUCACGAUGACAAGCUGAUGAUUCACUGUUUUCAAGACAGUUUGAUUGGAGCAUCAUUGAGCUGGUAUAUGAAAUUGAAAAGAAGCCAUAUUCAGUCAUGGGAAGACUUAGCCAAUGCUUUUUUGAAGCAGUACAACUACAACUUAGACAUGGCUCCAGACCGAAGGCAACUGCAAAGCUUAUCCCAAAAGGGCAACGAAUCUUUCAAAGGAUAUGCGCAACGAUGGAGAGAAUUGGCAGCCCAAGUGCAACCACCACUCUUGGAUAAGGAAUUGGUUGACUUGUUUAUGGAUACCUUGCAGAGUCCUUACUUUGAAAGGAUGGUAGGCAAUGCGUUAUCAGACUUCGCCCACUUAGUGACAAUUGGAGAACGCAUCGAGAGUGCCCUAAAAAGCGGAAGAAUCCAAGGCGCUUCGAGCAACCAAGCUAGCGAGACAGAAUCCCUCAGCAAUUCCCAAAAGGAAGAGGAGGAUGAAACUAAUGCAGUCAUAACAGAUGUCAGGCAACCAACAACGCUGAGAGCACCAUACCAGCAACCAUGGUCUGCUCCUUACGCAAAUCAACGAUCUCGUGGUCGAGGAUAUCAAAAUCAACCUUUGAACCAAUCUAGGCCUCGAAACAAUCUGGAAAGAAGGAAUGCUCCUCUCGAUUCAAUUCCUAUGUCAUACAGUCAACUUCUGCCAUAUCUGAUUCAAAACUCAUUGGUGGAUCCCAAGUCUCUCAGGCCAUUGCCAGAACCAUACCCGCCUGGAUAUGACCCCGAUGUGCAAUGUGGAUAUCAUGUUGGGUCAAUAGGGCACUCGACUGAAGACUGCAACGCUUUCAAAGCCAAGGUUCAACAGUUGAUUGACAAAAAGUACAUAUCCUUUCCAGACGGACACCUGUUGGUGCACAUCAACCUCUCGCCUGAAUAAGUUCGAAGACUUCAAGGGAGGAUCUCAUAAGGCCAGUGGUUCAGACAGGAAGACAUCCUUAACAUUGGCAAUCAUUGGACUGAUUUGUUUUCAUUUGCAUUUGUAAUUUCUUUGUUGAUUAAAUGCUACUUGCUUUUAAAUUUUGUUGUCUUUAAUAGUAAUAUUAAUGAAGUAAUGACGCAUGUUUUGAACAAAUUAUCUCGCAUUCGCUCAUUUUUCUCCUCUUAUAUAAAAAAAAUGAAAAAAUACAUCCAUGUUCCCCACCUCACCUCAUUUAUCAAACUGUUGUUUUUGCAAAUUGGAGGGAGGAUGACGAAAAUAAAAUACCCAUAAUUACUGACUGUAUGCUUUCAGAUAAGAUCCUGCUGAUGAUGUACAAGCAUUGUUUCAAAUCCCUAAACACUGGAGAUAUAAGGAGUUAAUCCCUAGUCAACCACUUUGAGCCUAGAAGUAGGUGUUUCUUUCGGAUGAACAAACCCGUAUGUUUAACCUAGGGAAGGGUAGUGUUCAGUUAAUCUGACUAUGCAUUCGAAUUACAAGAUGAAACAUCCCGUCUGAGGAUCAACCACAUGAUAUUCUUCGCACACAUCCUGAAGUGUAGAAGGAACCAUGCAAAAUCCAAAAGUUAUGGCGUUUGUUCUUCAAUGACCAUUGACUUGGCAGAUGAGGAUCAACCACAUGAUAUUCUUCGCACACAUCCUGAAGUGUAGAAGGAACCAUGCAAAAUCCAAAAGUUAUGGCGUUUGUUCUUCAAUGACCAUUGACUUGGCAGUCACAAUUCUAAAAGAUAAUAUAAAAAAAAGCCUGCUAAGUCGAACACCCAAAGAUACGACUUAGGCAAAAAUAGGGGCAAUCCUGAUGGACUAAAGCUUCAAAAAGCGGUCCAUGCAAAAGUUAGGGAUCAAAACAAAAAUCAAAGGAGGUCAUGAAAACCCUUAACUCAACAGAAUAAGACUCAGUGACCACCAUACCAAAAUCAGAGGGUCACCGACAUUAAAAACGAAAUAAGGUGGCUGUCAUUUCAAGAGACCUUGAAUCACCAUCUUUAUCCUUACACCUUCAAAAAGAUGAAUGUGCAUGUGGAAUUAACUGAGCGUAGGAUUGGAGUUUAUCAAGAAGAAGGGUGGGUACAAAAAUAAUUUUGAGCCUCAUAUCCUUUGUUUCGAUAACCAUGAACCAGACCACGUUACAACCCAUAAAAGACCUAAUUGAAGCUGGGUUUAUUCUGAAAGCAUACUACAUCAAUGUUGCGUAAACUGACUCCUAAAGUUUUGCUAACCAUCUACUUUGGUAUAAUCUUCUUGUUGUAUCUUUCAUAUUGUUAAACCAAAAUUGCGCUUGGACUCAUGGUCCAUUCGCCACACUAUCACAUCAUUCAAAUAAAUGAUUUUUCAAAACUUGCAUGAGUAUCGCAUUAAAAUUACCAUUUCUGAACAAACAAUUUUAACUGCAAGACAGUACUUGACGUCAGGGAAAUUCCAACAAUAAGGAACAAUCAGAGGAACUUGGACAUUAAACUUGCAUGAGUAUCGCAUUAAAAUUACCAUUUCUGAACAAACAAUUUUAACUGCAAGACAGUACUUGACGUCAGGGAAAUUCCAACAAUAAGGAACAAUCAGAGGAACUUGGACAUUCGUUGGUGCUGACCCGAAUCAAGACUACCUCAUAAUCCAUGAAUCAGGGGCAUGCCACCCAAAAACAGCAGUUGAUCGGAGGAAGAUUACUCCAGGAAUUAGUCAGCCUGAAACAGUCUCCAAACAUCUGUUAAUCAUGGGAAGGUCAUUUCAAGAAUCAGUUGAUCUAUAGAAAAUCAUCUCAAGACCCUAUUAACUAUGGGCAUAUCACCUAGAGGAUGUAUUGACCCAGGGAAAAUCUCUUCAAUGUUCAGUUAGGGUGAGUUAAGUCGCUUCAACGCUCAUACCGAGGCAAGCUACAUCAAGAGCACAGAAAAUUCAAUCACUCCAGGAGUCGGUUAACCAAGGAUAAUUCCUUUCAUGGAUCAAAAUUUUGGGGCAAGCCAUCUCCAAAUUAUGGUACAAUUGCUUUCAAAAUCCUUUCGAGGUAAGCAUUUUGCAUAGACCCAUCACAUUGGGGCAAGAUGAUCUAUACAGAAGCAGGUCCUCUCCAUGUUUUCAAGUUGUUCAAGCAAAAUCUUUUUCGCACGUCAUCAACUGCAGAGUUCAAGAUGAAUGUCGGGGAAUCAUGCUAUCACCCAUCCAAUAACCUUUCGAUAGAUAAGAAGCCUUAUUGCAAAAAAAACCCUUCUCUUCCAAUACCCGCGCAGGGGCAUUUUGGAAACCUUCCAAUCAUUACAUAAAUCAUCAUCAUGCAUUAGUCAUGUCGCUUUGCUCUAGCAUAAAGCCAUGCAUAUCAUAUCAUAGGGCAUUUUGGAAACCUUCCAAUCAUUACAUAAAUCAUCAUCAUGCAUUAGUCAUGUCGCUUUGCUCUAGCAUAAAGCCAUGCAUAUCAUAUCAUUUAUCAGGCAUAACCCCCCAUAACAUGAACCUAACAUCAAAAAGCCUUGAAAUACAAAAUCUGACACCAAAGCCCAACAUCGCUUGGAAAUUCAAAGUCCAAUUCUCGUUUGGCAAUUUAUUUCAAAGUCCAAUUCUCGUUUGGCAACCAUUUCAAAGUCCAAUUCUCGUUUGGCAAUUUAUUUCAAAGUCCAAUUCUCGUUUGGCAACCAUUUCAAAGUCCAAUUCUCGUUUGGCAAUUUAUUUCAAAGUCCAAUUCCCGUUUGGAAACCAUUUCAAAGUCCAAUUCUCGUUUGGAAAUUUAUUUCAAAGUCCAAUUCUCGUUUGGCAACCAUUUCAAAGUCCAAUUCUCGUUUGACAAUUUAUUUCAAAGCCCAGUUCCCGUCUGGCAAACCUUUUUCAAAAGUCCAGUUCCCAUCUGGCAAUUUAUUUCAAAGUCCAGUUCUCGUCUGGCAACUUAUUCCAAAGUCCAGUUCCCGUCUGGCGAACUAUAUCAAAAAUCAGUUCUUGUACGGAAAAUCAUUCACCAGAUACCAGUUCUCGUCUGGUAGUCUAUUUUUCGUAACCAGUUCUUGUUUGGUAGCCCACUUUAAAAGUCAGUUCCCGCCUGACAAACAAAAAUAAGGUCAGUCUCGUAUGACAUUUCAUUCUUUUCCACCAGUUCUCGUCUGGUAACAUAUCCUUCAAGUUCUAUCCUCAUCUGGCAGUUCAAUCUUCUUCACCAGUUCUCAUAUGGCAGUUCCCAUUUAAAGUCCAACCUCAUUGGCAAUCCAAAAUAAAACCCUACAAAAACAUCCAAUUACCCAAUUGCAUUCCCACAUGCAUCACAUGCAUCAUUUCAUGCAUAAUUUUUCUGCCAAACAGGAAGAUUCAUCAAACAUAAUCCUAUAAGUCAUCAGCAUACUUAUGCAUAACCUUAUACAAGAUAAAAAAUCACUCGCAUUCCUACACGCAUAUCCUAAAUAUCCUCAGCAAUUGCAUCCCUUCAUGCAUCUAAUGCAUCAUCCCAUGCAUGGCAUUUCCACCCAAAGUGGAACAUCAUACAAACAUAAAAUAUCAAGAUCCAGGGUCGUCCAUAUGUAUCCCAGACUUUCUUCACUUAAUUCAAUAAAGUUAUUACCCUGUAUGUGCUUGUGGAAUUAUUCCUCAGCCAAUCAUUCUUCAACUUUAAUGAUAUUCCCCAACAUCUUUGCUAUCAUUGCUCCCUAAGCAGAGGUUACCCUAAAAAGUCUCUUAUGAGCUUUUCCACUGCAGAGCAUUUAUAGUAAAUCUCCUCCAAAAGGAGUCUUGUCUAAAAUAUUUCCCCCAACAGAUAAACAUCUGAGAUACUGCUUCAUUUAUAUGGAGAAUCUCAGUUGUCUGUUUGAGAUGCUGCUUCAUCAAUAUGAAGAGUUUCAUUCAGUUUUUAGAGAUACUGCUCUAGUAUCCUCGAAGAGUCUUAGAUUUAAUUAAGGUAUCAUUCCCUUGUUCGGAAUAUCUUAAUUCUAUUAGAUAAGAUGCUGCUUCGCCUCGAUACAGAGAAUCUCAUUUUUGCUGUUUGAGAUGCUGCUUCAUCAACAUGAAGAGUCUCAUUCAUUUUUAGAGAUACUGCUCUAGGUAUCCUCAAAGAAUCUUAGAUACGGUUGAGGUAUCAUUCCCUUGUCGGAAUAUCUCAAUUAUAUCAUAUAAGGUACUGCUUCGUUGAUCCUCAGAGAAUCUCAUGUGUUCAAAUCAAGACAUUGUUCUGCUAAUUAUCAUAAAGUCUUAGAUACAGUUGAGGUAUCAUUCCAUUAUUGGAAUAUCUCGAUUACGACAUCCAAGAUACUGUUCUGACGAUUCCCAAAGAGUCUUGACUGUUUCAUUUUACCUUCUAAUAACUUUUCUUACUGUAUUUCUCACUGCAUUUUCUUUCUGCAUUUCUCCCUUGCAUUUCAAAGGACAAAAUUCGGGUCUUUUUGUAUUUAAUUAUCUUCCACCACGAAUGUACAAAGACUAUUGUCAUUCAUACUUUCUGGUUCAAGGUAAUUAAAUAGGGCCAUCUGUCAUACCCCAAUUUUGUCCAGGCAUAUAUAAAUUUUCAUAAAAUUAAAUUCAUUUUUAAUUUGCAUCAUAUGCAUAGCAUGACAUACAUUCCAUUAUAAAUAAUACCUAGAAUAUCAGUCAGGAUAAAUUUAUUGAAAAUACAAACAAAUCGGUUGAAUUAUUUCUCAAAAACAUGCACAACUCAGCGGGUAAAAUGUUUCAAAAUUAAAAUUGCAGACACCAGUAUUAUUAAUCUACGGUUCACGUAGUUUAACCUGGUGUGCUCGUGGUAUUUUUCAACGGUUGUUUCGGUUGCAUAUCGACCCGCCUGAGCCUUUUAACCGGUGCAAAUUUAUUUCAGAAUUUGAAGAAACUCUGUAUUUUUUCAAUAAGUAUAUUUUGUGCCGAUCAUUUUAGUGUGUCCGAUUUAAUUUUCUGAGCGAAUUUUCGCUCGAUUUUUAUUCCUAACGAACCACUUUGUCUUACUCUUCAUUAGGAUUUUAUCUACUAUUUAGUUUGAAUUUUGAUAAUAAUUUAUUUAUUUUUAAUAUACUUAUUUUCUUUAACAAUAAAAUGAUUUUAGUUAGGAUAACAUUGGAUCCCAUUGUCAAAAUAAAGCUAAUCAUACGCCAGCUCACAUUGCAUAUAAAAAAGGAUCUUCUACCACCAAUGAGAAAGCGCCACACGUCCCUAGGACCACAUUUUCCACUCCUUUCACAACCGUCGUCCUCUUUCAAACCACACACGACUUCUGUGACGUCGCCGCUCAACCGACCACCACCGAAAGUUGGUGUUUUGGAAGCGGUUUGAAGAGUUGAGAGGAAGAAGUCCGAUCUAUUUCCACUUAUUCCUCCGUCCAAACACCAACUCCGUGAAACCCUUUUUCGCCUUCAACCGCGCAUCCUCCGCACCUCUUAUUCCAACUCUGUUUCGGAUGGCUGCGAGUUGGCAAGGCGUUUUAGAUUGGACGGCUGUUUGGUUUUAAUUCUUUUGUUUAUGCAGGUAAUGGUUUGGAACGAAAGGCUAAAAAGCACCGGAUUCACUUCACCAACUAUGGAGUAUCAAGUUCAACAAGCACUUCGAGACAUUGACGCCCUAUUUCCACCGCCUGCGAAAACAACACGCCAAAUCGCGUUUACAUUUCUGCAUUCGGUAAUCUUUUAAACUGAAAACAUUGAUUACAAUUGGUCCAUGUUCUGAUGCU
rnacentral:lncRNA from 1 species